AUACGGAGGAUCCGAGCGUUAUCCGGAUUUAUUGGGUUUAAAGGGAGCGUAGGUGGAUUGUUAAGUCAGUUGUGAAAGUUUGCGGCUCAACCGUAAAAUUGCAGUUGAAACUGGCAGUCUUGAGUACAGUAGAGGUGGGCGGAAUUCGUGUUGUAGCGGUGAAAUGCUUAGAUAUCACGAAGAACUCCGAUUGCGAAGGCAGCUCACUAGACUGUUACUGACACUGAUGCUCGAAAGUGUGGGUAUCAAACAGGAUUAGAUACCCUGGUAGUCCACACAGUAAACGAUGAAUACUCGCUGUUUGCGAUAUACAGUAAGCGGCCAAGCGAAAGCAUUAAGUAUUCCACCUGGGGAGUACGCCGGCAACGGUGAAACUCAAAUGAAUUGACGGGG
rnacentral:rRNA from 1 species